GCGAGGACGCUCUGUGUGUUGUUUCGGAUGUACCACACAUACACAUGACAGGAUACAGGCUCGGAGCCAGGCGACAGAAGACAAUAUGUCAGUUUUGGUCAUGUUUUAUGCGAUGAGUAUAUUACUGCCAUGGUUUUUAGCAGUGUUACAGAGGUGAGCGGCAAUGUAUGGCUGCGUAGCGCUGUUUGACGGACCGUAGCGGCUGCGCUUAUGUUAACGCACAACAAUCCUUUUAGUUCGCACUUAAACUUUGUGAGAACUUUGCGGCAUCUCUUCUCAUUUUGACUGGCGAGGUGAGACAGCGCGAAGCAUGGCGACACAAAACGACUGCUCUGUCAAGGUCUCUUUAAGGAUUCGGCCACAGAUGGCAAAGGAAAAGAUUGAGGGAUGUCACAUCUGCACCUCCGUGACUCCCGGCGAGCCUCAAGUGCUCCUGGGAAAAGACAAGGCCUUCACGUAUGACUUUGUGUUUGAUAUGGAUGCCCAACAACAACAAAUCUACAGCGCCUGUGUCCAUAGGCUUAUUGAAGGCUGCUUUGACGGAUACAAUGCUACUGUCUUCGCUUACGGACAAACUGGUUCAGGAAAGACCUACACCAUGGGCACUGGCUUCGACAUGACUAUGGCAGAUGAAGAGCAGGGCAUCAUCCCUAGAGCAGUGCAACAACUGUUCCAGGGCAUCCAGAAACGCAGACUGGAUGCACAGAGUGCAGACAUGCCCCUGCCAGAAUUCAAAGUCAGCGCCCAGUUCCUGGAGCUCUAUAACGAGGAGAUCCUGGACCUAUUUGACAGCACUCGUGACCCUGAGGCUCGAGGCAGGAAGUCCAACAUUAAGAUCCACGAGGAUGGGAGCGGAGGCAUCUACACCACAGGCGUGACUUCACGGCUGGUCAGCUCUGAAGAUGAGCUCCUGCAGUGUUUGAAACUGGGCGCUCUGUCCCGCACCACUGCCAGCACACAGAUGAAUGCCCAGAGCUCCCGCUCUCAUGCCAUCUUCACCAUCCACCUCUGCCAGAUGAGGGUGUGCCCACAGCCACACCUGGUGAAUGGAGAGAUGAACGGCGUAUCUGAUAGCUCCAUCUCUCAGCCCGAGUAUGAGACGCUCACUGCUAAGUUUCACUUUGUAGAUCUGGCAGGCUCAGAGCGUCUCAAACGCACAGGAGCCACGGGAGAGAGAGCGAGAGAGGGCAUUUCUAUCAACUGUGGCCUGCUGGCCCUGGGUAAUGUGAUCAGUGCAUUGGGAGAUCAGUGUAAGAAGGCAGGCCAUGUGCCUUACAGAGACUCCAAACUCACACGCUUGCUGCAGGACUCGCUGGGAGGAAACAGUCGGACAGUAAUGAUUGCCUGUGUGAGCCCCUCUGACCGUGAUUUUAUGGAGACCCUGAAUACCCUGAAGUACGCUAACCGGGCUCGAAACAUAAAGAACAAAGUGAUCAUGAACCAGGACAAAACCAGUCAGCAGAUCAAUGCCUUACGAGCAGAGAUUGCACGCCUGCAGAUGGAGCUCAUGGAGUACAAAGCGGGAAAGCGAGUGGCCUGUGAAGAUGGAUCCGAGGGCUUUAGCGAUUUGUUUCAGGAGAACUCAAUGCUCCAGAAAGAGAACGAUACACUGCGUAUGCGGGUCAAAGCCAUGCAAGAAACCAUUGACCACCUCAAUACCCGAGUAACCCAGCUACUCACCAGCGGAGUUAAUCUGCUGCUCACUAAGACAGGUGAAACAAAUGAGGAGAUUGGAAAUCUAAUUCAAAAUUACAUCAGAGAGAUUGAAGAGCUCAGGUCUAAGCUGUUGGAGAGUGAGGCCAUGAAUGAGUCUCUGAGACGCAGUUUGUCUCGCCUCUCUUCCCGCGCUCUGUACCCUGCCUCCAACCCCGCUGCUCCGGGAAUCUCUCUUGGUUCCUCCCCCUCUGUUUCCAUGGAUGCAGAGAUGACAGAUGUGAUUUGUCAAGCCAAAUUAGAUGUAGAGAGGCUGAAGAAGAAGGAGAGAAAUCAAACCAGGAAGAGUCCUGAGAAAGAAAAGGGUUUGAAGAAGAGACCCAAACUUCAUCCCCAGGAAAACGGCGAAAAGAGAGAGAAUGGACUGAGCAGAGAAAAUGAAGAGAGACGAGAAAACGGAGACGGGGAUUCGGAUAAUGAACCUGAAGAGGAUGGCAUGUAUCCUCUUCAGGAGGACGAUCAGGGGGAGAGUGGCUGUGAGGAGGAGGAGGAAGAGGAGAUCAGGGAGGAGGAAGAGUUUGAUAGUGACGAGAGCCUUGUGGACUCUGAUUCUGACUCCGACGAGAAAGUGAACUUGCAGGCAGAUCUUGCAGAUCUGACAUGUGAGAUCGAGAUCAAACAGAGACUGAUCGAUGAGCUGGAGAACAGCCAGCGGCGAUUGCACACGCUGAAGAGUCAGUACGAGGAGAAACUCAUUCUGCUUCAGAACAAGAUCAGAGACACACAGCUGGAGAGAGACCGCGUGCUGCACAACCUCAUGUCCAUGGAGAACUACACUGAAGAGAAGGCUAAUAAGAUUAAAUCAGAGUACGAGAAACGUCUGAAAGAGAUGAACCGAGAUCUGCUGAAGCUGCAGGUUGCUCAGAAAGAACACGCUCGUUUACUGAAGAACCAGGGCCGCUAUGAGAGAGAGUUGAAGAGGCUGCAGUCUGAGGUUGCUGAGAUGAAGAAAGCCAAGGUGGCGCUGAUGAAGCAGAUGAAGGAGGAGCAGCAGAGGAGGAUGAUGAUUGAAGCCAAGAGGAACAGAGAAAUCGCACAACUGAAGAAAGAGCAGCGACGACAAGAGUAUCAGAUCCGAGCUUUGGAGUCUCAAAAGCGGCAGCAGGAGAUGGUGUUGAGGAGGAAGACGCAGGAAGUGACGGCCCUGAGACGUAUGGCCAAACCCAUGUCAGAGCGUGUGGCUGGACGUGUGGUCCGCAGACUCACCAGUGUGGGCUCUGGAACUGAGCUCUCCGCUAGCAUGACAACGGCCUCCUCUGAACCUGAGUCAACUCGCUCGGUGUCCAGCAUCAUAAGGCAUUGGAACACCAAACUGAAUGGAUACCUUGGAGAGAAUGAGAGCAAUGGGAGUAGAGGAAGUCUGGCCAGUAGUAAAAAGAAGUUCCAGCGGAAGGGUACAAGCACGAGUUUCUCAAAGACAGCCCGUCAGAAGUGGCAGGCUUUAGAGAGGAGAAUCAUGGAUAUUGUGAUUCAGAGAAUGACCAUCACCAAUGUAGAAGCUGAUAUGGAUCGCCUUAUUAAGAAACGUGAGGAGCUGUCCAUGCAGCAGGAGGCACUGUUGCGUAAGAGGGAGAAAUUACUGCACGAGGGCUUUGGAGAGGAGGAGGACGAGAGAGUCCUUCAGGAGAUGAAUGAGGAGAUUGAAGUUCUCAAUGCCAACAUCGACUACAUCAAUGACAGCCUGGCAGAGUGCCAGGCCACCAUCGUACAGAUCGAAGAGACCAAGGAUGAGCUGGACUCUGUGGACACCUCAGUGGUCAUCAGCUCCUGCUCGCUGGCUGAAGCUCGUUCUCUCCUGGACUACUUCCUCAAAGCCUCUAUUGACAAGGGCUUGCAAGUUGCUCAGAAAGAGGCUCAGAUUCGGCUGCUGGAGGGUCAGCUGCGGCAGACAGACGUGAUUGGCUCUUCCCAAAAUCACAUGAUCCUGGACGCUCUGAGGGAAAAGGCAGAGUGUAUCCCUGAGUUACAGGCCUUAAUCCACAAUGUCCAGCAGGAGAAUGGUUAUGCAAGCACAGAUGAAGAGGCAUCAGAGUUCAGUCAGGCAUCUGAGAGUGGUUUUUGCCAAAUGAAGUUGUCGGCGAGUCAAGAUGACUUUAAGAUGAAGGUUGAACCCCUGCUCUCGGCACAAAUGAAGGCAGUGUCUGCUGAGUUCUUGGGCCCCAUACUUGACCCCACCUCUAAGAACAUCACAAAGUCCUUCGCUUCACUGUCAGAGAUCCACAAGAACGGCCUGGUCCUCAAAGAGCUCUAUUCCAGAGAGCUGGUGUCUCGAACCAUUAGCCUGCCUGUCAGAGGACACACCUUUCCAAGACAAUCCAGAGGGUCAGACACAUCUCCAUUAACAAGGAGACCGUCAUAUGACCGAGGACAGCCAUACAGAAGUCCUGAUGUGGGCUACACCCCACCCUCCUCCCCUCCUCUCCGAACACGCAACGACCGCAACGUCUUUUCCCGUCUGACCAGCAACCAAAGUCAGGGCUCUGCACUGGACAAGGGUGUGAUCACUCCCACAGGUGGGCUCAAGGGGGCCAGAACGGCCCCUCUGCAGUGCGUGGCAAUGGCCGAGGGCCACACCAAACCUGUGCUCUGCCUGGAUGCCACGGAUGAACUGCUUUUCACUGGAUCCAAAGAUCGAACCUGCAAGAUGUGGAAUCUUGUAACUGGACAGGAAAUAGUGACGCUGAGGGGGCACCCUAACAACGUAGUGUCUGUCAAAUACUGCAGCAACUCUGGCCUUGUCUUUACUGUUUCUACGUCAUUUAUCAAAGUAUGGGACAUUCGCGACUCUGCCAAGUGCGUCCGAACAUUCACGUCAUCGGGUCAGGUGGUCUCAGGUGACGGCUGUGCUGGUACAACCACCCGCACCAUCACCACAGCCCAGGGCGAGUACCAGAUCAACCAGAUCGCCCUCAGUCCCUCUGGAUCAAUUCUGUAUGCUGCUGCAGGCAACACUGUCCGCACCUGGGACCUCAACAGAAUGCAGGCCACAGGAAAGCUGACAGGACACACUGGGUCAGUGAUGUGUCUAACAGUGGGUUGUUCUGGUGGGGGCAAAGACCAGGUCAUCACUGGAUCCAAAGACCACUACGUGAAGAUUUUUGAUGUUGCGGAGGGCACUCAGGGCAACAUUGGACCGGCGCAUAACUUCGAGCCCCCUCAUUACGACGGUAUUGAGUGCCUUGCCAUACACGGCGACAUCCUGUUCAGUGGUUCACGUGACAACGGCAUUAAGAAAUGGGAUCUGAGACAGCAGGAACUGAUUCAGCAAAUCCCAAACGCCCACAAGGACUGGGUGUGUGCACUGGCAUUUGUUCCGGGGCGGCCCAUGCUCCUCAGCGCAUGCAGGGCGGGCAUGCUCAAAGUGUGGAAUGUGGACAACUUCACCCCUAUUGGAGAGAUCAAGGGCCAUGACAGCCCCAUCAAUGCCAUCUGCACCAACUCCAAACAAAUCUUUACAGCAUCCAGCGACUGUCGGGUGAAGUUGUGGAGUUAUGUCCCUGGGCUCACACCCUGUCUGCCCCGUCGGGUCCUGGCCAUCAAGGGCCGGGCUACCAGCCUCCCCUGAGCCUCCACUAACACCUCCUGCCUCUGGUUCCCUCUGACUUAUGGAUAAAACAACUAUUUGCCAAUGGGUGACAUGACAGUAAAAAUCUGGCAUCCGAAGAUGGGGAAGAAAAGGUGACAAUCCUGAGUUUGGAAUCAUUGUUAUCGAUGGUGCCCUUUGUUUGAGCUGGCUGCCAAUUGAACACGACAGUCCAACUUUAUGGUGCCCAAAGCUGACCUUGCCAUGAAGUCCCUGGUUCAGAGUUCUCGUUCCAGAAAGUCGGUUAGAUGGACCUGCCCUAAGGAGAUGAGACACAGCUAUGUUUAUAAGACAAAAACCUUCAACAUCUCAGAGCCUGAUAUAUCUGAAAUGUUCGAAAAUGAAGCCAACAGUCUGUCCGAGGAACUGCCAUUUACCAUCUUCUAGAUGUUUUAUAGGUGCCAUUUUGGUUACACCACAUUUGACACUGAAACUGUAGCAUCUGUACUAAUGAAGUGUCAUUUUGCAUUUCCUGUCUAGGAAAAAAAGUCCUUGUGACAACUUUAUCUGCAGCUGCUGUUUUUUUCUGCACAUUUCCCAUGUCAAGGACAACAAAGAAUACAAGAUGAAGGAAGGCUACUUCAGAGUUGCACUGGCAUGAAGUUUUUUUGGGGGUUUUUCGUCCUAGAGAGCCAUAUGACUCUGGUCUGAGGCUUGUCACUAGAAGCUAAACCAUUGCCAGUUAGUCUCCAGAACAUUCCAUAAUGACUGUAGUUGAAGAUGAAGAUGCUAGAUGAAGAAGAGCAGACGCAACCUUUUCAAUCUCAGUUCUGAGACAUUGUGCAAUAGUACGGUCCUCCACUUAUUUCAGUGACCUCCUCUACUGGAGCUUUCUCUGAACAUUUCAAAAGGCUAACGACUUCCUUAAAACUUCCUUAAACCACAGGCAAACACUGGGCACCACUUUGUACAACCCUUCUGACAGGCUUCCUUUGCUUUUGAAAACCAUUGUCUCCCUGUUGCUGUUGCCAUUGUUUCUCUGUUGCUGUGAAAUUUUACUUUGUCUACCUCAGGUUUAAAUUACAUUUCGGUUUGCCGGAUCCCAGCUUUAUUAUCCGUGAAGUGUAGAUAGAGGUCUCAGAAGUGGAAGCAGAAUUUAGAGUCUGCUGAGUGGGCAUUUUGAGGGUGUGCACGUAAUAUGCCCAGUUUACCAGGGGACUGUUGGGUUUAGUAUCACUAACAGGAUGUUCUCCUCACGGAAUUAGAGCUGCCUCAGACUCAAGCAUCUGAUUAUUAGGCAGCGAUCCCCCUGUGGACACCAGAAAAUGGUCCAACAAUGUUGCUGCACACAGUUUUGUAUUGGAAUGAUAGAGGAGAUAGCUUUAACUCACAGUUAUUAUUGCAGAACUGUUUUCUAACAAAUUUUAGACAAUCUGACACUGGAUUGUUAGAUGAAAAGUUGGUAAUUUAUUUGCCCAAUCUUUAUAUAUAUAUAUAUAUAUAUAUAUAUAUAUAUAUAUAUAUAUAUAUAUAUAUAUAUAUAUAUAUAUUAGGACUACUCUCCCCCCCAAAACGACCAAACAAUACAUUGCUUUGGACAAACCAUACCAACCUCUACCACUCCCACCCCCGACAUACCCUAAGAUUGCAUCCUAGUACUGGACCUGCUACUCUAUAUAACGUUUUAAAACAUAAGUGUUAAAUAAUUUGCAAAACAUUUGUAGGUUCAGAUGCAACUUUUGAUAUUGUCUUGCCAGUCCUCACCAUGUCUGGUCCAUGUUUAUGAAGUCACAUAAUGAGAGAAGUAUAACCAUGCCAAAGUUAUAUUUCUCCCCAAAAUCAAAAGAAAUGAAUAAGAAAUUAUAUAUUUGCCUAAAUACAAUGAAGCCUUUUUUAAGUACCAUUAAGAUUUACAUUAUGACAUUAUUUUCAUGACAAAUAAUCAUCCCCCUUCCCCCAAUUCUCAUUACCACAAUGAAAAAAAAAUCUCAUUCUCAUUACUGCAAAGUUAUAAAGGAUUUAUACAGUACAGCAUUAUUUGUUGUACAAUCUAAUGGGAAUCGCCAUUGAGAAUAAUGCAAAUUGCAAAAUGAACUCUAAAUGUUGAAGUAUGUCACAAUGUAAAAAAUGUUAAUGGACCUAAAAAUAGGUUUAUUUUGUCUUUGGGUGAAAUGUGACCUUUACAUGUUUUUGUGAUAUUCACCCUAAUAGAACACAAGAUAUACAAGUUGUACAAUAGCUUAAAUAUACACAAACACAGAUAUAUUGAAAUGUAUCUUUACAAGCUCACUCCUCUACAAGCAUCCAAUGAUAAGCAAAACAGCAGUGUUAAACUAGGUCAAAUUUGAGACUGUUUUUUUUCUUUUCUCUAUCCUUCUUGAAAAAAAAUCAAAUAAAACAGGAAGCAGCCUCUUCUGUAUUGAAGGAUAUGGCAUGCCUGGUGGGGGUAUGUGGGCGUUGGCAAGUUUGUCUUGGAAGAACACAUGCAACUUUAUUUUUAAGCCAUCAGUCUUGCUGUGCCUCGUGCUGCUCCCUUCCCAGGCUUUCCCAGAUUUACAGUCUUUUUUUAAUGAAACAUAUCUAUCACUCUUAUCUGCACAACAUUUCUAGGUGGCCACUGGCAGUUUUGUGCCUAUGUGCAGCAGCCUCAUACAAGAGCCACUGGAAGGAGGAAGCUCUUAUUUCCAGGUGACAGGGAUGUGGUUUAUCUGAUGAACGACCCACAGCACUGUUAAUCACACGUCAAGUGCUGCAGUGGGGAUUCCCAAGCUCCGAAAAGAGCUUUAUUGUGUAUGAAAGAUAUGAUAAUAAUUAGUCAUGAAGCCAAAAGGAUUUAAUCAAACGGUGCGAUUGACCCUUUUUUGAUGUGCAGCAAGCACUGUCAUGUUUCUGUUUCAUUAUUCCUUUCAAAUACAUUGCAAUGUCAAACACAAAGCUGUUAACGUCAUCUGAAGCUACAUCAUGUAUGAGCAUCCACAGGACUACAUAAUGGAUCUGAAACAUUAUUUGGCUUGUGACUAGGGAUAUUUUAGUAGUAAUCAUCUUAACAGAGAAAUCUGUUAGCAGGAUCCAUUUACAUACUGUAAAGCUCAUAUAUAUGCAUACAUAUUCAUGAGGAAGAACGCAUUAGGGGCUUCUUCACCCUUAAGAUUAGUACUAGAUCUCCGCCAAUGGAUUGCAGCUUAGGCAGUUUGCCUUUUUUUAUUUGACAGUAGGGGGAGUAUGUUCUGCACCCUCAUUAAAUCAGUAUUUCAUCCUUAAGACUGUAUAUGGGUUACAGUACAGCGCUGUAGAAACAUAACAUUAUAGUGUGGAAUUUGACCAAAUGACCGGUUUUUUGGUCCUCUCUUCACUGCAAAUAAGUAAUACACUCAUAAAAUGAAAUGCAAUUUUGAUCUUUUCUACAAAUUGACAGAAUUUGGAACAAGGCCAAAUUUAUUAAAUAAUGAUCAGAGCCUCUACUUCAAAGGAUUUUUCUUUUCAAACAAAAUGCUGCUUUCUACAAUCGUGCAUCUCUUUUUAUAUGUGUCGGUGUAUCUUGCUCUUGAAAGAAAGCAGCUGAAAUAUACAGCAUCAAAAUAUGUCGCCAAAGUUUGAUUUAAACAAUCAUUUGCACAUUGUCCUACAUUUUCCCUGGAUUAAUAACCUUGCAACAUUUUUUUAAACGUUAUGCUCAAAACUGAUCUGGUUAUGGAAAGUAUUCUAUUACAGGUUGAACCCCCUUUUUAAUAAGUGCCCUCAUUAGCAAGAUUACAAAUGACUCUUUAAAACUCUUUUUGUCCUUAAAUAAUUUCAUUUAAGAAACAAAAAGCGUGUUUUGAAUACCGCUGAUUUUAUAAAUGGGGGAGGGGGAUCCACACUGAUCAUUUUCAGCCUCUCAGCUCGCUCUCGCUCUCUCUCUCUCUCCUUUUGUGUCUAAAAGCUCAUUGGUUUACAAGACUGCUUCUAAGAUUGACAGUUACAACCUUAAAUACCUGCUGCUUUAACAGUAAUGCCAAUCAAUGGCCUGCAAUUCCUGGUGCUCAGCUCAAAGACAGUCUUUUGCAGUGUUGACUCACAGUAUUGGAAGCUUUUGGGCUUUUAUAACCCGAUCUCGUACAUCAUUUACGAGUUGGCUAUUUCAUAUGGUCUUGCACGAUGUUGUUUGCAUAAACUCGUACGACUUCAUCAAGUGCAAAUUCCCGGAUGUCUGAUGCGGAAGUAAGCCCGAGUUCUGUGCACGAGAUGUUAAGGACAUACUUAUUAAUAUUAUGCCCUUAUCUAAACUUAGCCAGCCAGUAGAGUGUGUAAACAUGAUAGGAAGCUGUUGUGUGUGACAGAAACAAGUAAUUGUCGCGUAAUAGAUGGAAACGCUGUCCAGCGACGUCAUUGGCUGUAGUGAAAGUCAUAGGAAUUAAAACGAGUGCAGUCGCACUGUAUCAUAUGAAUUAGCCAAAUUUAGAAAAGUCGAACAAAUCCUGACAAUUUCGUCGUGGGAGUGUGUUAGCUUUUAUCUUUUUCACUGCAUUCAGCUUCACAGCAGUAAUUUACCAGUACGUUUAGUCAGAGCUUAGUUGUGGCUUUAAGGUGCUCAGAAUUUAUAUUCUAGGCCAGUGAUGCAUACCACUGACUACAUAAUCUUCUACAUCUGUGUGUAGUCUCAAAUAAAGGCUUUUCUGUACAGGGGAGAUUGUAGACACCUCUGCCUUUGAUUAACAUAGUGUUAACCUGGACUAUUGAGCAGCGUUGCCCCCUGUAAUGCCAAAGGUAAGGAGGAUUUCACUGGCAGUAUAUCUUUGUCCAAGCUGCCUUACACCCUCUAUCUCUGUCUCACGCCCUGAACCGCAGGGCCAUACUGCAAUACGCAAUAUGCUUUCCACUUCUGAGACCUCUAUCUCAAUUUAGAAAUGUAAGCUCGUUUCAGCAUGUGGAACAUCAUGCCACCUUGAAACUUGGUUUUUAAAUGCCUUAUGCAUAUUUUGGAAAAACAAAUCUAUUUAAAUGAGGUGCUUUCCAGUUACCUGGCAACCCAGGUAUGCACUUAAUAUACAGAUUAAAGAAAGAUGUUUAAGUAAUAGAGAAAACGAGGCUGAAUGUAAAGGCUUUGACAGAACAAUCAACUGACCCAGCAGCAGUUUAUAUGCGUUCAUCUGUUCUGUUCAAGUCAUCGUAAAACUGCUGACUUUUAGUUUAUCUAAUGGUUUAUUGAUCUCGGAACAGGUGGAGGCAGGUGCUGAGAGAUUGUAAAACACAGUGUGGCAUACCAACAAAGGUUUCAGGUGCCUUUUAUUGCUUAGACUUCUCCCAAGCAAUGUAAAUGUUUGUACAGACUUUGAAUUUGUUACAUGUGCAUGUGACCAAACUGGUUGUAAAAUAUUUGACUACAUUUUGUACAGGUUUUAUUUAAUGAGCAUUCCUCCAGAUAAAUAAACAAACAAAAAAUAUA